GAUGAACGCUGGCGGCGUGCUUAACACAUGCAAGUCGAACGGUGAACGAGGGAGCUUGCUCCCUCCGGAUCAGUGGCGAACGGGUGAGUAACACGUGAGCAAUCUGCCCUGGACUCUGGGAUAAGCGUUGGAAACGACGUCUAAUACCGGAUACGAGGCGUGGGGGCAUCCCCAACGCCUGGAAAGAACUUCGGUCCAGGUUGAGCUCGCGGCCUAUCAGCUAGUUGGUGAGGUAACGGCUCACGAAGGCGACGACGGGUAGCCGGCCUGAGAGGGUGACGGGGCACACUGGGACGGAGACACGGCCCAGACUGCUACGGGAGGCAGCAGUGAGGAAUAUUGCACAAUGGGCGCAAGCCUGAUGCAGCAACGCCGCGUGAGGGACGACGGCCUUCGGGUUGUAAACCUCUUUUAGCAGGGAAGAAGCGAAAGUGACGGUACCUGCAGAAAAAGCACCGGCUAACUACGUGCCAGCCGCCGCAGUAACAC
rnacentral:rRNA from 1 species